rnacentral:lncRNA from 1 species
UAUAAUCCCUCUUAAACAUUUCCCCCAAAUUACCCAAACCCUAGAUAAAUUAGAGUAAGGACACUACUGUUUUUCUUCUUCAUUGAGCCCGACCCCAACUCGCCUGGAACUCACCCGAGUUCACUCAAAACGAUUCCCCGUCUCAACGUCAUUUGAUUCCUAACAGAUUUGUCAUAGAGGAGUACGAAUUUUUUCUCCCAAAUCGCACGAUUUUGAGUGAAAAAGGACAAUUGUCGGAAGAAUGGGAGCUGUGGAUAGAUGUAAAUCAAUCCACGCCCUCCAUUUGUACCAAGAUUUUUGAAGUUUUUAGCAGAUUUUCGAGAAUUUUUUAGGGCUCUAUAUAUAUGAGGUAAGUCUUCUGUGCAAGGCUAGAGAAAAAAUCAAAGAAAAAGAUCGGAAAAAUCUUAAACAGCCGAGUUGAAAACUUCAAAGGUUUUUUUUAGUCAUCACUUUUCUUCAAGUCCUUUUCUUCCGUACUUCCAUUUAUUUCAAAAAACAUACCCAAAAAAAGGAAAAUGGUUUGAGUUCGUUUUGAUUUGAGUUUUACUUCAUUUUUCUAGGGAAGAAAAAAAAAAUCACUAAGAGACAGAUAUUUCUUAAUGCUUAUUCCUUCUUUAGAGAUUUUGGUUUUUCUCACGAGUGCUUGACUUAAAAAUUCAAGUUGGAGUCGAGUUUUGGGUUGGAGUUCAAAUUUUCGAUAUUGGCUCGGUUCAAGCUGGUUGAUUCCUAUGUUAUUGUUGUUGUUUGUUUCAAGCUUUGAGCCUUUGUUUUAUUCGAGUUGGUUUAAACUGUUGUAAUCGUUGAAGUUUCAUUAAUUGAAAGGUACAAUUCCAGGUUCAUAUUUCUCCCUUGUGUCUCUGUUUUUCUUUCUUUUUCUCAGUGUUACAGUCGUGCGAUUAAAGUUUGGUGACGACGUACUCUCUCUAGAGUUGUUGUGAUUGUAAUGUAUGAGAAGGUCGUCGAGACAGAUGCAUAUGCUAAGCAUUCAUCAUAGAAUUUGUUUACUGUAUCGUGUGUGAGUUGUUGAAGUUUGGUUAAAAAAUGUCCUUGUGUUUUCUCUUGAUUUCUUCAGUCAAGAAUUCUCCUUGUUUAAACUUGCUAUUAUGUGGAAACAAAACAAGUCCUUUCUUCGUCAUGUUAAUUUUCUCAAAGCCCUUUGUUGCUGUAUCUUUUUCUGUAGUCUGGGUUCAAGGCUUCAUUCUUAUGUUUCAAAGCGUUUUCUCACUGUUUGUAAUUCUCCAUUGUAGUUUUGUAUCAUCUUUGAUUGUAUAGUUUGACCACCUCUAUGAUUGCCAAGAAUAAUAUGCACAACAGCCAUUUUGUUUA